rnacentral:lncRNA from 1 species
CAAAAAUAAUUCUCUUACAGUUAGCGUACGAGUUUCGCCGCAUUCCUGCAAAAGGUAGAUGAAGGAGGGUUGAUUUGCCACCUCAGAAAUGACCUCUGAAAUCAUUGCAGCAGGCGCAUCUUUAAUCUAAAAAUAAUUUAGAAAUAUCUAAUACAAUUGUAAUAAUAUGGUACAACAUAGGUCAGGGGUGGUCAUCAUCUGAAAGCCCAUCUAAUGGAAAUUUCUGAUUCCCUUUCAGCAAUUUACGUC